rnacentral:rRNA from 1 species
GAAUAUUGGACAAUCGGCGAAAGCCUGAUCCAGCCAUGCCGCGUGUGUGAAGGAGGUCUUCGGCUUGUAAAUCACUUUAAGUUGGGAGGAAGGGCAGUAAGCGAAUACCUUGCUGUUUUUACGUUCCCGACAGAAUAGGCACCGGCUAACUCUGUGCCACCACCCGCGGUAAUACAGAGGGUGCAAGCGUUAAUCGGAAUUAAUGGGCGUAAAGCGCGCGUAGGUGGGUCGUUAAGGUGGAUGUGAAAUCCCCGGGCUCAACCGGGGAACUGCAUCCAAAACUGGCGAGCUAGAGUAGGGCAGAGGGUGGUGGAAUUUCCUGUGUAGCGGUGAAAUGCGUAGAUAUAGGAAGGAACACCAGUGGCGAAGGCGACCACCUGGGCUCAUACUGACACUGAGGUGCGAAAGCGUGGGGAGCAAACA